CCUGCCCCUAGAGGCAUUGCAGGAGUCACUGCUGAAUCACAUCCAUGUGUGCCAAUAGGUGGAAGAGAGGAGAGAGGCUAUGUCUACACUCAGUAUUCUGAGCUGUGACUAGCUGAAUGACUGGUAACCUAACACU